rnacentral:rRNA from 1 species
UAAUACGUAGGGUCCGAGCGUUGUCCGGAAUUAUUGGGCGUAAAGAGCUCGUAGGCGGUUUGUCGCGUCUGCUGUGAAAACUAGAGGCUCAACCUCUAGCCUGCAGUGGGUACGGGCAGACUUGAGUGGUGUAGGGGAGACUGGAAUUCCUGGUGUAGCGGUGGAAUGCGCAGAUAUCAGGAGGAACACCGAUGGCGAAGGCAGGUCUCUGGGCACUUACUGACGCUGAGGAGCGAAAGCGUGGGGAGCGAACAGGAUUAGAUACCCUGGUAGUCCACGCCGUAAACGUUGGGCGCUAGAUGUGGGGACCUUUCCACGGUUUCCGUGUCGUAGCUAACGCAUUAAGCGCCCCGCCUGGGGAGUACGGCCGCAAGGCUAAAACUUAAAUGAAUUGACGG